AUCGAAUCCUGAGACUUGUCCCUCUGGCCUUGCCUCCAAGGGCUCAUCAUCUCAGCUCCACAGUAAACCAUUUCUAGAAGAUCACCUGCUAGCCUUUAACCUCUCCUAGAUGGCUCCUGACAAAUGUCUCACUCUGAAGCCCAGACCAAUGUAGAACUCAUGGCAAUCCUCCUGCCUCAGUCACCCACAUGCUACUAUUACAAGUUUGAGUCACCAUGCCCACUCCCCUGCCUGGCUUUCUUCAUUGUGCUGUUAUUCAUUUAUUUUUCAUUCAUAUUUCUCAAGGCUUAUUUUCUUUUCUUUGUGUGUACGAGUGCCUGCAUCUAUGCCUACACACCAUGUGCAUGCAGUGCCCACAGAAGUCAGAAGAGGGUGUCAGACUCCCUGGGACUGGAUUUAAGGACAGUUGUGACCUACCAUGUGGGUACCGGAAAUCAAACCCGAGUCCUCUAGGAGAGCAGCCAGUAAAUUUAGCUACUAAGCUAUUUCUCCAGCCUCUCCAUUCAUGCUUUUCUUAGCUGUUUUCUCUAAUCUUAAGUGCCAUUAGAUUUGGUUUAAAAAGAAAAUACAAUCUGUGGAAUACUGGUUAUUCAGGAAUAGAAAGAAUAGAAGGGUUUUAAAUUGAGAUUUUACAUUCUUGUCUUACAUCAUACAGCUAAAAUGCGUCCUAACUCUACAAUCAUUUAAAACUUACUUUUUUUUUUAAACAUUAAAAUUAAAUGAAAGAGUUUUCUUCUUAACAUCCCACAUGGCUCACUGGUUAAGAGCAUGUAAUGUUUUUGUAGAAUAUCCAAGUUGGUUUCUGUUACCCGCAUGAAUUGGCCUAAAAUACCAUGCAAACUCCAGCUUCAGAAGGUCUGACGCCAUCUUGUGGUUUCCCCAGGCACUUGGACUCACACUGCACAUGCAAGCACAUGCAAGCACGAAUGCACACAUACACAAUAUAUAUAUAUAUAUAUACUUUUAAAUUUAAAACAUGUAGUGUACUUUCCAUUUUAUUGUAUGCUCCUAUUAAUAACUUGAUAAAACACUCAUUGAUUCACAAAAUUGGGCAUUGGUGCAUUUGUUGCUUAGAUCUGUUGUGGACUUUCUUUCUGGGGUGGGUAUAAGUUUGUGUAGCAUCUUCCCAGGAAAAGUCUGUAAUGUAAUGGCUCUCAGUACUCCUACAGACAGCUCACAACCAUCUCUAACUCAAUUUUCAAGUGAUCUAAUGCCCAGUUCUGGACUCCAUAGGCACCUGCACACAUAUGACAUUCACAGAUAUUUGAAAUAACAAUGAUAAUGAAUAGUUUUAAACAGAAUAUAAAGUUGAGUGUGGAUUUUUGAGGUCGGUAAAGAAUUGUGGUGAAAUGUUGGUGGGGAUCACAUUGAAUCUGUAGAUUGUUUUUGGUAAGGUGUCCAUUUUUACUGUGUUAAUUUUACUGAUCCAUGAGUAUGGACGAUCUUUCCAUCUUCUGAUAUCUUCUUCACUUUCUUCCUUCAAUGACUCGAUGUUUUUUAAAUACUUGUUUACAGUUACACCAAGAUAUUUUGAAUUAUUUGUAAGUAUUCUAAAGGAUGUUGUUUUUCCCUAAUUUCUUUCUUGGCCCAUCUAUCAUUUGUAUGUAGGAGAGCUACUGGUUUUGUUGUUUUUGUUUUGUUGUUAGUUUUGUAUCCAGUCACUUUGCUGAAGGUGUUUAAUCACUUAAAAUAUUCCAGGAGUUUCCUGGAAGAAUUUCUGGGACCACUUAUAUAUAUCAUCAUAUCAUCUGUGAAUAGUGAUACUUUGACUUCUUCCUUUCCAUUUUAUAUUCCCUUUAUCUCCUCUAGGUGUCUUAUUGCUCUAGCUAGAACUUCAAGUACUAUAUUGAAUAGGUAUGGAGAGACUGGGCAGUCUUGCCUUUUCCCUGAUUUUAUUGUAAUUGCUUUUAGUUUCUUUCCAUCUAGUUUGAUGUUGGCUAUCAAAUUGCUGUGUAUUGCCUUUAUUAUGUUUAGGUAUGUGCUCUGUAUGCCUGAUCUCUCCAAGACUUUUAUUAUGAAGGGACUUUGUCAAAAGUUUUUUCAGCAUCAAAUGAGAUGAUUGUAUGUUUUUUUCUUCUUUCAGUUUGUUUAUAUGAUGGAUUACAUUAAUAAUUUUUCAUGUGUUUAACCAUCCUUGAAUCUCUGGAAUAAAGCCUACUUGAUU
rnacentral:lncRNA from 1 species